rnacentral:rRNA from 1 species
GGCGUCGAGCGGCGGACGGGUGAGUAAUACUUAGGAAUCUACCUAGUAGUGGGGGAUAGCACGGGGAAACUCGUAUUAAUACCGCAUACGACCUACGGGAGAAAGGGGGCAGUUUACUGCUCUCGCUAUUAGAUGAGCCUAAGUCGGAUUAGCUAGAUGGUGGGGUAAAGGCCUACCAUGGCGACGAUCUGUAGCUGGUCUGAGAGGAUGAUCAGCCACACCGGGACUGAGACACGGCCCGGACUCCUACGGGAGGCAGCAGUGGGGAAUAUUGGACAAUGGGGGAAACCCUGAUCCAGCCAUGCCGCGUGUGUGAAGAAGGCCUUUUGGUUGUAAAGCACUUUAAGCAGUGAAGAAGACUCUUCGGUUAAUACCCGGAGACGAUGACAUUAGCUGCAGAAUAAGCACCGGCUAACUCUGUGCCAGCAGCCGCGGUAAUACAGAGGGUGCAAGCGUUAAUCGGAAUUACUGGGCGUAAAGCGAGCGUAGGUGGCUUGAUAAGUCAGAUGUGAAAUCCCCGGGCUUAACCUGGGAACUGCAUCUGAAACUGUUAGGCUAGAGUAGGUGAGAGGGAAGUAGAAUUUCAGGUGUAGCGGUGAAAUGCGUAGAGAUCUGAAGGAAUACCGAUGGCGAAGGCAGCUUCCUGGCAUCAUACUGACACUGAGGCUCGAAAGCGUGGGUAGCAAACAGGAUUAGAUACCCUGGUAGUCCACGCCGUAAACGAUGUCUACUAGUCGUUGGGUCCCUUGAGGACUUAGUGACGCAGCUAACGCAAUAAGUAGACCGCCUGGGGAGUACGGCCGCAAGGUUAAAACUCAAAUGAAUUGACGGGGGCCCGCACAAGCGGUGGAGCAUGUGGUUUAAUUCGAUGCAACGCGAAGAACCUUACCUGGUCUUGACAUAUCUAGAAUCCUGCAGAGAUGCGGGAGUGCCUUCGGGAAUUAGAAUACAGGUGCUGCAUGGCUGUCGUCAGCUCGUGUCGUGAGAUGUUGGGUUAAGUCCCGCAACGAGCGCAACCCUUGUCCUUAGUUACCAGCGGGUUAAGCCGGGAACUCUAAGGAUACUGCCAGUGACAAACUGGAAGGAAGGCGGGGACGACGUCAAGUCAUCAUGGCCCUUACGACCAGGGCUACACACGUGCUACAAUGGUAGGUACGGAGGGCAGCUACACAGCGAUGUGAUGCGAAUCUCAAAAAGCCUAUCGUAGUCCAGAUUGGAGUCUGCAACUCGACUCCAUGAAGUAGGAAUCGCUAGUAAUCGCGGAUCAG